UAGCUAGCACGAACAAACCUACUACUGACUGCGUGAAGCUGAACGUGCGUCCAGCUGUGCUUUCGCGAUCUGAUCUAGUGGCCUAAUUCUAGAAUCAUCGGUGAGUGUCGUACCGACGUCACACUAGGAACCCUUCCAUACUUUAUUGGCAUUCUCAUUAGUCGAAAACUUUGCAGCGAGAUGCUACGGUAGCAUUUCGCUGCUCGUAAAAAUCCAGCCUAUCAUGACCCUGCGUGAUCCGUUUGGUCCUCAUAUUUCGGUUCCCCGACAAUUUUCAACUGGCAAUGGACAAUCUCCAAAAUUUGGAAGAGAGAUGCGAAGAUGCAGUUUUCAAAGUCUGCGACGCUAGAGAACGUUUUUCAAGAAAAUGUGCAGAGGGACUCGACAACUAUCUAUUUUUGAAAACCAGGCUGGUGAUUCGAUGGCCGAACGAGUACUUCAUAUUGGAAACUGAUUAUUGAGAAAUAAAAUUGAGCUACCCAUUGAACAAACGGGAAAUAUGACACGGACCGGAUACUUAGCGAGAGCAAUCCGAAAAUAAUUCAGUGCGUAGUAAUAGCUAAGAUAACGGGCACAACAUUUUGUAAUGUUGCAGGAUUAUUGAGAAAUAAAAUUGAGCUACCCAUUGGAGCUGAAA
rnacentral:misc_RNA from 1 species